rnacentral:lncRNA from 10 species
UCUUUAUUUCAAUCUUUAUACCGGGCUUAUGGUAGAUUCUCAUACCAAUUUUGCUUAUCAAAGAAAUCCCAAAGGAACAGACAUUUACAAUGUAAUUUCACGUAUUACAGAACACAUCACUGAAAGUAGUAGACAUUCAAUUAAUAUCUGUUUAAUUGAAUUAAAUAUAUGGACAAGAACCCAAUUUUCCCAAAAUCAGAGCCUACAGAUCAAGAAUUGAAAGCUUUUCUGUAAAGAGCUAGAUAGUAAAUAUUUUAGGCUGUACAGGCCAUAUGGUCUCUGUUGCAACAAUUAAACCCUUUUAUAUAGCAUGAAAGCAGCUACAGACAAAAAAAGUAAGCUUGGCUGUGUUCCAAUUAAACUUUUUUAAUGGACACUGAAAUUUGAAUUUUAUAUACAUUAUAAGUGUCAUAGAAUAGUAUUCUUCUUUUGAUUAUUUUGUAACGAUUUAAAAAUGUUGAAACAAUUAGCUCAAGAACUAUGCAAUAACAUGCAGGCAGCUGGACUUUUCCCAUAUUGACUAUACUUGUUGAUCUAUGCUACAGUAUAGUUACAGUUUUAGUUCCUUAUUUGGUCAAUUCUUUAUAUGGACCACAUUUGAUUUCUUCCCUUCUACUAACUGCCUAGCGUAUUUGUUAUUUGACAUAAUUCAUAUUAAUAGCAUUGUCUUAUUCUAGCAGCCAUUUUAGACAUACCCUUACCAGAAAGUCUUCCAGGUCACUGAUUUACACCUAUAUCUUUUGCUAUUAGUUUGUUAAACUAUUGACCUCUAAAACUUGUUAAGAUUGUGUAUCUUAUAGGCAAAGAUCCUGGCCCAUGUUUUUCUAAAAAAUUUAAAAUUUAAAAUUUUAAACUUUUGUGUGAUCCAUAGUUUGACAACCAUCUACUUCUUGAGUAUAUUCCCCAUCAUCACAGUUAAUUUUUCAGUAACUAUCAACUUGCUUCCUGAGAAUCUAAACUUUUUUUUUUGUAUGGAUUGUGAUCUUCUCAUCUGUCAAAACAAUUUCUUCUCUUAUCUAAAGCUUUUUAAUUUUUUUAAUGGAGCAUCACUUCUAAUCUCACUAAUCUUCAUUUGAUCUUCUUAACCUUUCUUUCUCCUUUCCCCCUAUAUAAAAUCGUGAACUCCAAUGACCUUCUAUGGUGACUCCCUUUCUCACAUCCCCAAUAUUCCACCCUUACUAAGAUACAUCUUAACAACUAUAAUUAUAUUCAAAAUAAGAAUGAUGACAAGAGAAAGGAAGAGCAGGAAAGAAGCUAAAAGGAUGCGAGAGGAGGGGAAAAACAAGAAGAGGGAAUUGAGAUUUCAAAGAAAAAAAUGAACAAAUAAAUAGGAGGGUUAUUUUAUACAGUGUAUAUUUAAAAAGUCGAUUCUCUAAAAACCCUUUCACAGAUAUUAUCUCUUACACACUGGGAAAUUGGAGACUUUUUUUAUGGAUGACCUGGAUAAUCUAAUCAGUCAAAAAAGAGAAAGAAGACUCAAAUUGGAUUUUUUUAACCCUUUUGUCUGAAUCAGACCCUGUUUAAAAGUCUGAUAGGAGAUAUUUCAGGCUGACAGCAUUUCUUUCUCAAGUUCUGUCUGUGUUCAGGCUCUGGGCAUCUUGGGUCUUUUUAUCUGAACAGAAAGCAAAUCCUAGUGCAGCAUCAGAAUGUUCUAGCCCCUUGCAAUGGCAUUUAGAUUCGUCUGCUGCUAUUUCCAAAGAUGCCCAAAUCUAUAAAUAUUAAGCUACAUUUUGGACCCUAACCUUGAGAAAGGGCAGCUACCAUUUAAUAUUGCCAGGGAAAGAGAAAAGGUGUAGGGGUAGGCAAAGGAGAGAAACAAAACAACACAAAUGUCAAAUCUGAUUGAUUAAAAACUAGGUAGGCAAAUCAGCAAGGGCUGGUCCAGCAUCACUGGAGAAUGAGGUCAGAAAGGGCUGUUUCAAAAUUAUUUGGUAUUUUCAGAAAUUGAUUACUGAGGGAGAGCAUUAAGAAGUAGCUGUGAACAUUCAUUUAAUGGGCCACUGCCUCUUGUACAGGGCUGGAGUUGUCACAUUCAGUCUCAUCUACUCCUUGUUAAGUUGUGCUUCUUCUGGAGCAUGUUUAUUUAUUACAGAUACUGUAAGCAUAAACUACAAACUAGAAUAAUAAAUAAUUCUCUAAAUGGGAUUUUGCUAGCACCACCUCUCUAUCUUUUCACUUCCAACCCCCAAUAUGACAAGCUCCAUUGUUUAUAGGCCUGGGACUGUCUGCAGGCCUACAGAGCAAGCCCUUUCCUGUCCUAGGAUACAUUUCAGUGAGUAGGCAGCAACUUAUCUGGAGGAAACUGAGGGACACUCAGAUGUCCUCCUGUUCUCAAACUCCUCAGUUAUCUGCCCCUUGGAGAGGUAUUCCCCUGGCUCCUCGGGUUAGGCAUACCCUUUGCAAAUAUAUGCAGUUUGGAAGAAGUAGCAUGUGUUACAGCAGUUACACAUACACAACUUGGUGUCAGAUCAUUUUGUUGGUCACUCCCGUAGCCUGACAGCUAGAAACAGGCUAGAAAGUGAAAGCUUGCCAUGAUGAAGAAAGAGAGGGAUAUUUUGGAGUAUAGAUCACAUGUCAAUGGGUUGUAUCUGGGUGUGGCACCUCAUGGAAAUCUGUAGCAUGAGACAAGGAGACAGCAAGGGGUUUUCUGAAUGUAUGCACACAUGCGUGCAUGGGUGUGUACGCAUACACACACUCCUCUCAUCAAAAGCCAAACUUCAUCUUUAAUUUCUAAUCUGAUAACUGACUAAAGUCAAGUCUCCAUUUAUCCAGGGAUCAUUUCAAAACUCGACUAUCACAUGGUGAACAUCCCCACUAGAAUUUCUGCUGGUUUAUUCUUGCAUACUGUAUGUCUUUUCUCUUUGAAGUAAUCAAAACUAAAAACACAUCAUCUGUAUCCUUCCUUUUCUAACUCCAUACAAGCUGUAAGGUUUAUCUUAAACUGCCAUUCCAUGGACCCUGUUACUUAUUUCUUUGACUAAAACUCUCUUACUCUUAUUUCUCAUUGAUUUUGUUUUAAUGCUUAAUUCUAUUUUUCGCAAUAACGUUCACAGAUGAUUUUAUUUUUCUCGCAUAGAUUACAAACCCUUUUAUGGCCAGAAGUACCCUAGUUUUUUUGUAUUUCCUGCAUUUGGCUGCAUCCAACACCAAGUAUCAAGUAUAACAUCAAGAAAUCCCUUACCCUCUGAUUGUUAAUAGCACUCCACUGUGGAAGCUGGGUGAGAUACAUACAGAGGAAUCAUUGACAUAUUCCACACAUGAGAUGGGGCUGACCUCCCCUCCCAAGACUAUGGCUUUGUGGAUUCAUAUAUUUAUCCAAAGUGAAUAUUUGAGAUGUCUUUCUAACAGGACAAGAUAAUUCCUUUAUGAUAUUUAUUUCGUAAGAAUAAAUAUAUGAAAUGUGUCAAUGCACGUAGCCUGCAAUGGUGAAAAUGCAAUACUUCCCAGGCUUGUAUUUUUCAGUCAUUGCACAGUGCAUUUACUGUCGUCUAAUUAGGCAUUCUAAAAACCUGAAGUCCCCUUGUGUUUACCCUGCAACAGUUGUAAUCCAGUGUGCCUGACACUACAGUAUUUAUCCCCAGAAAUAAUUACUCCACGGAGAAGGCAGCAAUGUGAGUACAUCCCAGGACCAGAGAGCAAUGACAGAGGACCUCAAGGCAAUACUUCAUAUUCAGAUACAAAUGGGGUUCACAAUUAAUACAUGAGACAUCACCAAUUUUAAUAAAGCUGAUGAAAGGUAGGUAGAUAUGAAAGUCAAAUAUACUUGGGAUUCUCCCCUUCUCUAAGAGUCCCUCUUUAAAUUAAGACUUUGCCAGGUGAUUAACAAGAACGCCAGCUCUUCAAAGGGAAGCAAAGCCUUGUUCUUUGCUGCUCCACAGGCGACCAGCUCUCUUUCCCUUUGGUCCAGAUGGAGGCUUUGUUCUCCCGAAGUUGGUCAGGUGCUGUGCCUGUCCAAAAAAGGGAAGCAAGCGCAGCGUUAGGAGCCCGCACCUGUUUAAAAAGCAAUGUCGUUCCCUGAGCUCCAAAGCCUGAACAUCAAAUGCCUCCCUUUGCCAGGCAGCUUGGCUAUUCCCCAGGCGUUUUCAAUCUAGUUGGGUAAAACAAAAAUUGCAUAAUUUGUCAUUAUUUUCAAGGAAUGAGAUGUGCCUUCUACAAUCCCUUUCGAGUUAAAUACAAUGACGCUGAGCUUCCUCUGAAUGCCAAUGCCUUCUUUCUCAGAAAGAAUAGAAAUAAAGAAUGAGAAAAGAAACACCCAAUUGAUUGCCUGUAAUUUGCUCGGGUAUUUGUUAUUGAUGUAUUCUUUGUAUGCAUUUUAGGGAUAGGUAGCAGAAAAACUCUUUCCCGAGGUCUUCAGUAAAGAGAAGUCAAACACUGGGAAAAGCUGGAACAGGAGGCCAGGACUUCUGAGUCAGCUUCAAGAUUUAAAAUAAAUAAAUCACAUCAACUUAGGUAAACCACAAGUCAUGUAAUCAUUCUUCAUUUUAAAAAGGUAGAUUAAAAUUGCCUUCCCUAAAUAUAUUACAUUUAAUUGUGGAGUUAAAAUGUAAAAAAAAAAAUGUGGGAAAGUGCUUUACAAUUUUAAAUAUUUGCUAUAAAUGUAAAGUAGUUUGAAUGAAUGAGAAAUAAGGGGUGAGAUGAGAUUCUUAUACAGGAGUCCUAUCAGUCUUUCUAAGGUGAAAGCUUCAAAUCCAGGCAGACAGGGAUGUAGAAAGCAAAGAAAACUCAGCAACAACCAUCGGAAAGCAAGGGCAUCCUAAAUCUCAUCUAUUAAGAGUAGAGAAAAGGACCUAAAAGUCCCCACCAUAUUUUCUUGUAUACAGGCCCUUCUGCUGCCACUUGGUUACAACAAUAGUGGAGAAAAGUAGGCCCAUAAAGCAAGACUGAUUGCUGGGAAGGUGAUCAAUUGCUGCUGUGAAAGGGGAAAAACUGAUAAAUUUUUUUUUUCUCCUUUUCAUCACAACCUUUUGCUAAAGCUGUGCAAAAUGUGUCAUGCAUAAAAAGUAUGCAAUUUUCAUGUAAUUAGAGGAACACAAGAUGAAAAUGAGUUCCAUCAGAGCAAUCAAGGAUGGUAAUGUGGUAUGUAUUUGUCAGUGCCUAUUUGUCAUGAAAGCAAAACCCAACAAGUUAUAUAUUUUAUUUCAUUUUAACUCUGAAAAAUAUAAAUGCCAUUUUGCCAUGGCCAAAUCUAUAAAUUUCAAUAAUCCUUUCUUUUUUUUUGAAAAGUGAAGUUUUGGAACUGCAGAUUAGAUCAUUUUACUCUUUUAAAGAAUGGAAUGCUAUUUUAUGAAAAACACUGAGAUUACAGGACAGAUUUAUUCCAUGGAGGGUCAGAUUUACAGCAGGAGGUGAUAGGUUUACAGUUUGCUAUACAAGAAACACACUAUAAUUUAUUUUCUCUGAAAAUACACUUGCAUCUUACAGUAGCAUGUGCCUCUGAUCCCAUCCUCAUGCCCCCCAAACCAACUGUAUUUUUAUAUUCUUCUUGGGCAAGAGGGCAUAAAUUUGUUCUUUUUCUCUUUCUUCGUCUUUUUCUCUCAUCCUUCUUUUCAUCCAUUUAUUUAUUCAUUUACUGUGUUAUUUGAGACAGUUUAUUGAGCUUCAAAAUUGUACCAGGCAUGUUAAACUCUAAUGAUAGAAAAAUAAAGAAACCAUGACCUCUGUUCUGAAGCUGAUUCUACUUAUUUGGGGACAGAGAAAAGUAACCAAUUAAUACAGUAGGAUAGUAAAUGGAGUGUGCUUCCAUUGGUAAGAUUUAAGGGAAGAUACCUAUCUAGCUCAGUCUUGCUAUUUGAAGAUUGGGACAGGGGUGGGGAAAGAAAGUCUAGGAAGAGGAACAGGUAAAGGCAAAAGCUGGGAGGAUGUUGAGAGUUUAGCCAUUGAUGAAAGAGCAAUUAAUUACUUUUAUGGUGGGAAGCACAAGAGGUCAAGAGUUGAGACCAAUGAUUUGAAAUGGAGAAGGAAAGAUGAGAGACAUCCUUAUAGGCCAGAGUAAGAGGUCUAAGCUCUGUCCUCCCCGCAGUAUGAAGGCUUUUAACAGUUUUAAGCAUAAUCAAGUCUGUCUGUAGAAGAAACACUCUGACAGCAUUGUAGAGAAUUGAUGUGAAUAGACAAAACCAGUUAUGAAUCUAAUAAUUCAUUUGGGAGACAGUGAUGGUUUGAGCCAAGGUGGGCAUUGGGGAUGGAGAAAAGUAAAUGGGUUUGGGAUGCCUCAUAAAGAAAAUUACCUGAUUUGGAAAUAAUUUCUAACUAGGGAAUGAGGCGUGUUUUUAUUUUAACACUUACUCAUUCCUUUAAAAGAAAGUUCCAAUUUCUGUUUUUGAAUUAAGUUGCAUUUUCUUUUACUUCUAUAAACUGGGACAAAUGAUAUCAAAAAUUCCAUUAUGAUGGACUAUCUUGAAAAUAAGACUUUAGUGUCCCCUUCUUUCUCUCUUCUUCUUCAGGAUAAAUGUCACGUUAUUUGUCAUAUGAGUUAAGAUUUUUAUCAGCUACUUAUAAAAUAAUAUACAUGGCAUUUUAUUUGUUUUGUUAGUUGUUUGUCCCUAUUUGUAUAGUCACUUAAAGGAUGCUUACAUGACACUUUCUAAUGUUCAUAUUCUCUAAUGUGGGGGUUAACAAACUUUUUUUUUUUGUUGAGGGCCAAAUAGCAAAUAAUUUAAGCACUGCAGGCCACAUCACAACUCCUCAACUCUGCAAACAUAGCACAAAAAGAGCCAUAGACAAUACAUAACAGUAAUAUUUCAUUAACAAAAGCAGGCGAUGGGCUAGAUUGGGCCUAUAGGCUAUGAUUUGCUAACUCCUCUAAAUCUCAUCCAUUUAUUUCUGUGUUCUGGGUUGCCAGAGAAGGCCUUUGAGAUCCCUAGGCAAUUUCAGCAUGAGAAGCUCUGCAGUUCUAAAAGUUUGGAAGGAUGAUUUUGGAGCUCUGAGUAACGUCUAUUGAGACACUUACAUUGUCUACAACCUUGCUAAUGUCAGACAACUUCCCUUGAAUACAGGCUAGAUAAGGUAGAGUUUUAAAUCUUUAAGUUUUUUAAUCAAAAUUUUAAAAUAUAGGAUGCAAUUUCAACAAUAUAUGUGCUAUUACCUUUUUAUUUCAUUUUACAGUUGAAUGUGAGAUUUUUUCUUCCCCCUCCCCACCCCUGUCCCGGUAUAUAGAAGUCAUGCCGUCAGGUUAUAACUAGGUUCCUGGCUUUCCUCUGUAAAAUAGAAAAAACGUCACCAAAGGGGCCCACUGAGCAGAUUCCAUACAGAAUAAAGCGAUGAGAACAGAAGAACAUGCUGCACAUGACUGCAUCCUUCUGCCUGAAUUAUAGACUUAGAGCAGUAGGAAAAGGGACUAGAUCAUUCCUAUAGCUAACACAGUUUGCAUAAACCUGGAAAACUAUCACAGAUUUGAGACCUGCGACAACAUGCCCUUGUUACAAACUUCACAGAAAAUUAAUGAGAUCCCAGCUCUGAUCUCUUUUCCUCACUUUCACUGUUGUAGGAUAGGACCUUGAUUACUGGCCUCUCACUUACACUGAAACACAAGACCUCUUGCCCCUUAGAAGCCCAUCUGUUCAUACCAUUUAUGGCCACUGGCUCUUCCUGCUUCUAAGUUUUCCUGAGUUACCUUGAUUCCUUCCUCUUGCUCUUCAAAAGCUCUAGCAAAGGCAAAUUUCCUAAACCUUAGUUUAUAGGCCUAGAACUCCCAAUUAAUUGAAGCUCAACUUUUAUAUGUAAUUAUCUUGCUGAUGUUACUCCAGACCCAAUGUGUGGAGAUUGGACUGCAUUUGAACUGUUCAUGUUCCACCUCUAAUCUGGAAAGAGAGAGUAAGUGUCAAUGCAACAGAAGAAGCUUUAAUACCCUGGAGGGGCAUUCAACAAAAUGUGACCAGAAAUAAAGAAUAGAUUUUGUAUGUGUGGGUGGUGUGUGUUUCAGUAUGUGUAUGUAGGAACGUUUGAACUUGAAUUUUCAGGGUUAGAAGCUCAGUACAUGUAACAAUUGUAGUCAUUAUGGUGAAUAAUUUCUCUUAAUGAGUCUUAGAUAAUGACAUCUUCCCAAAAGGGAAAAGUGAGGGGUUUGGCAGAAAUUGAAAACAGACAAAAGGUGGUGAGUGAGAUUUGGGCUUCGCUCAACAAACAUUGACUAGGAUAAGCUCAUCUCGUUCAAUGCAAAGGAUUGUCAUCCGUGUUUUAAUGGUUAGAUCAAACUGGGUGAAGUUCGGUUUAAUUGGAGAGGAGAUUGCAUGGAAUAAGGUAAAGUGUAAGGUGGGAUUUUAGAGGCUGUAGAUGCCCCUAGAUAUAGGUGAAAUUAUUAGGGGGCUGCAUUAACUGGGAUAGGUACCCCAAGCUCUGGUCUCUCAUCAAUGCAAAGGUUUCUGGUCACUGUAAACACAUUUUUAAGGGAAGUAUUCUAAUCUUGAGUUAGCAGGGGUUUUGGCCCAAGAUGCAGAUGGAAGUUGUCAAGAAAAUAAACUUGUCCCCCACCUCUAUCCUUACCUCCUGUUGAUAAACAAACCUAUACCACUGGGUUUGUUUAUUCUAAAGUGGAUAAGCAUGUGCUCACUACGAAGGAAACAUUGCCAGCUUCACACUCCAAUGACUCUUGGGCCAUCUGUCCAGGUAUUAAGCAUUUUUAUUCUUUGCUCUGCCCGCAUAAAAUGGUGAUCGAGGAUGAUCUCUUGGAAUCUCCAAUCACAGAGUCUUCUGACUGAGGUGAUGAAGAAAGGCUCAAGACUCCAUGCAGGAGAACUGAAGAACCAGGAAUGAUGUUCAAGCUUUAAUGCUGGUUAAAGGAGGGUGAUUGAACACAUGUAAAUUGAGUCCCUAAUUUUUCAGUGCAUUAUGCCAGGUGUUGUAAGAAAUAAAGAUGAGUAAAAUUAGCUCCUCAUUUUGGGGAGGUUCUAAUAGAACUGGGAGAUAUGAGACAAAUACACAGAAUGAGAUAUAAACCAAGUUAACACGAAGAGUGACUAUGCAGAAGGGGUGAAAGAAAGAAGAUGGGAAAAUCACACAUUAUUCAGAAGAGGCUGGAAUGCCAACUACACUUACCCAAGUAGAUCCUGAAUUCUCAAGCUUUUGUCAGGACUCAUGUAAAUUUCUUCUAUUUUUUCAUUCUUUUUUUUUGUUUGUUUUUUUGACAGAGUCUCAUUUUGUUGCCUAGGCUGGAGUGCAGUGGCACGAUCUUGGCUCACUGCAACCUCCACCUCCUGGGUUCAAGCAAUUCUCUUACCUCAGCCUCCCAAGUAGCUGGGACUACAGGCGUGCACCACCACACCCAGCUAAUUUGUUUGUAUUUUUAGUAGAGACGGGGUUUCGCCAUGUUGGCCAGGUGGGUUUCAAACUCCUAACCUCAAGUGAUCCUCCCGCCUCAGCCACCCAAAGUGCUAGGAAUACAGGUGUGAGCCAUCACACUUGGCCGAGAACUCAUGUAAAUUUCAGGUGGGUUCUGCAAGCCAUGAUACAAGUACAGAGACUUUGAAUUUUAUGUGGCAAACAAUAGUAAUUCUAUUCCUUUCUUUUCUACUGAUAUGAAGAAAUCAUAUGAGAGUUUUCAAUUAUCAAAAAUUACAUUAUAAUCUUGAAUCUGCUCAAACAUAUUUACAACAAAGAUAAAUAAUUUAAAAAUGUGAUUAUAUAGCUAUUAUUAUUAUCUAUUAC